UUGUCUCAAGACUAAGCCAUGCAUGUCCAAGUAUAAACGCUGUUAUACUGUGAAACUGCGAAUGGCUCAUUAAAUCAGUUAUAGUUUAUUUGAUGGUUCCUUGCUACUUGGAUAACCGUAGUAAUUCUAGAGCUAAUACAUGCAGAAAGUCCCGACUUCUGGAAGGGAUGUAUUUAUUAGAUCCAAAACCAGCGCGAGCCUCCUCGGGGACUCGGUUGCUCGGUGAUUCAUGAUAACUGCUCGAAUCGCACGGCCUUGGCGCCUGCGAUGAUCCAUUCAAAUUUCUGCCCUAUCAACUUUCGAUGGUACGGUAGUGGCCUACCAUGGUUGCAACGGGUGACGGAGAAUUAGGGUUCGAUUCCGGAGAGGGAGCCUGAGAAACGGCUACCACAUCCAAGGAAGGCAGCAGGCGCGCAAAUUACCCAAUCCCGACUCGGGGAGGUAGUGACAAUAAAUAACAAUGCCGGGCUUUGUUAGUCUGGCAAUUGGAAUGAGUACAAUCUAAACCCCUUAACGAGGAACAAUUGGAGGGCAAGUCUGGUGCCAGCAGCCGCGGUAAUUCCAGCUCCAAUAGCGUAUAUUAAAGUUGUUGCAGUUAAAAAGCUCGUAGUUGGAUUUCGGGGCAGCCCGGCUGGUCCGUCGCAAGGCGAGUACUGGUCGUGCGCCCUUCCUCUCGGAGGCCCCGACUGCUCUUCGUUGCAGUGGUCGGGGAGUUCGGGACGUUUACUUUGAAAAAAUUAGAGUGUUCAAGGCAGGCCGUCGCCUGAAUACAUUAGCAUGGAAUAAUGAAAGAGGACCUCGGUCCUAUUUUGUUGGUUUCCAGGGCCGAAGUAAUGAUUAAGAGGGACAGUUGGGGGCAUUCGUAUUUAAUUGUCAGAGGUGAAAUUCUCGGAUUUAUGAAAGACGAACAAGUGCGAAAGCAUUUGCCAAGGAUGUUUUCAUUAAUCAAGAACGAAAGUUGGGGGUUCGA
rnacentral:rRNA from 1 species